CAAUAGCGUAUAUUAAUGUUGUUGCAGUUAAAAAGCUCGUAGUUGAAUUUCUGGAGUUUGGUUUCAAUCCGGGUGUUCUGUUCAUUCAGACCCUGUGUAUUGUCUUUACCAAACCUCCAUCUUAGUAGUGAGUGUAACUGGCAUUAGGUUGUCGGGUGCAGGAGCUGCUUCGUUUACUGUGAAUAAAAUAGAGUGUUUAAAGCAGGCAUUACGCCUUGAAUACUUCAGCAUGGAAUAAAAUUAUAGGACUUUGGUGCUAUUUUAUUGGUUUGCACACCGAGUAAUGAUUAAUAGGGACAGUUGGGGGUAGUUCAUAUUUGAUUGUCAGAGGUGAAAUUACUUGGAUUUAUGAAAGAUGAACUUAUGCGAAAGCAUUUACC
rnacentral:rRNA from 1 species